CCUUAAUGUUGGCCAGAAUUAGGCAGUCAGAUUGCAGUGGUAACACAGAAGUUGUUGUCACUAUGUUGAGAUGCCGGUUACAUUGUAAUAAACACUGAUGUGGUAGUACAUAGGUGCCCGUCUUACUGUAGUGUUGGCUUUUUGGCAUCAGUAAGCUUGCUCUGGAGGCAAUGAUGUGUAAGUCAUAUUGAGCAGGUCUACUGAGGAGAGCAGUGGUGUAUCAGUCAGAAUGUUCUGGGCACCAAGGUUCC